AAAGAGGGAUGGGAAUGGACGAGGAGGAAGGAGAGGAGGAGAGGGAGAGAGAAGCCGAGACAUCGCGAACGUUCUCGCGUAAUACCGGCUUAAUAUUCCGGCCGACGAAACGACCCGAUUACGAAAGCAUGUUGCAAGAUACCUGGUAAUUCGAUAAUAACGUACGUGGCUUUACGUACUUACUUAUAUGCACGUACACAUACAGAUGGAGAUAGGCAUACACAGAUAAACUCAUAAAUGAGUGAACGUGUAAUAAGAACGACAGAACGUUGACGGAAUCACCUCGAAGAACUUUCGAAAUUCGAAUCCGAGGUUUUCUCACAUUGACGAGCCACCUCGUCCGAAGGAUAAUCCGUGAUGAAGAUUACGUGAUCGAUCAAUAAUAAACGUUAUAAUAUUGAAAAAAAAAAAAAAAUAUAUAUAUAUAUAUAUAUGUAUAUACUUUUUUUAUUUCAAUACAUUUCGUGGACAUCGGAGUUUACAUCGGAGAUGCUUCAGAUUUUUGGCGGUUAUCCAAAUAAAAUGAGAGGAUGAAAGGAAGACAGAGAUACACGGAAGGAAUAACAGAGGAUAGACGAUUCUUGAUCGUUCUCCAAAAGGUAAACGAGCCGCGAGGUCGCGUUCCUCUUGCUCCGUUCUCCGGUCGUCGUGAUGACCUUGAGGCUCGUUUCCCUGUUCCGCAUUCUAAAAAUAUUUACCCGCUCGAAGGGUUUGCGCUACGAUGGACGCCCGAGAUCAUCGUUUCUUUUUUUUCUAUUAUUCCUUGUAUUUCUCUUUCUCUCUAUCUCUCUCUCUCUCGCUCUCGCUCUUUCUUUCACUUUUUCUUAUUUUCUUUCGAUAUCAAUAAGUUUCAAUAAGAGAUUUCGCAUUAUCAAAGACAACUUAGAUACAACGUAAUUUUAUUUCAACAUAUACAUAUUAAUUCGAUUUAAAUAAAGAAUAAUGAAAUAAAUCAUAAUGAAUUUUAUUAUUAAACCUAUUCGACGAUUAUUCCGAUAUAUUAGAAAGAGUUAUAUCUCAUAUAACUAUGUACCCUAUAAAUAAUAAAAAGAAAAGAAUAUAAUGAGGAGAAAGUUAUGUAUAAAAUUAAUCGUAUUCUUAUAAUAAAAGAAUUUAUAAUUAAUUCUUAAAUUAGGGAUAGAGGG